UCGCCUGUUUUACAAAAACAUGUCCCUCUUUACUAUAAAGGGUCUGCCCUGCUCACUGAGUAUUAAAGAGCCGCUUAAAGUGUUAAAGUAGCAUAAUCAAUUGUCCUCUUAUUAAGGUCUUGAAUGAACGGGAGGAUUACUAAUAAAUUUUUAAUCUUGAAAAAUAAAAACUUGAAUUUUGAUUAAAAAUGUUUAAAUUCCACAAGGGGACGAGAAGACCCUAGGAUCUUUACAACAGAUUAAGUGUGUUUAAUUGGGGAAAUUUGAAAAAUAAACUUUUCUACCUUUCAUCCACUUUGGGUGUUUUUUUAAGAUAAAAAUAAGUUAAAAUAAAAUUACCCUAGGGAUAACAGAGCUAUAACAAGUUAGGUGACCAAAGUUUAAUUUGUGAUUGCGACCUCGAUGUUGAAUUAAAGUUUAAAGCCCGGUAGCUCGGGCUUAAUUUUAGUCUGUUCGACUACGUAACUUUACGUGAUCUGAGUUCCAGACCCGGA
rnacentral:rRNA from 1 species